CACGUGCUCGUCUGAUUAAGAGAAAAUAAAGAAAAGGAAAUCCAAAAAGCUGUGUUCUAUAUACGAGUACGAGAUUACCUUCCCCCGGCAAAAGUAAUGGUUCCAUAAAAGUUUAGACGUAGAAAUACGCUACAAAGCUAAGUUCACGUGAUAGCGUAACAAUACUUUAUUUUAUUCUACAUAUUGCGGAGUGAUAGACUGCGUUAUACUUGUUAAUUUUUUUACUUAUUAAAAAAAUAACCUUAUAAUAUGAAUCGACCCGCUGGUACUCGUACCGCAUGUGAUCGAAUUAUGAAAAAUACGUGUGACUUAGCCAUAAAUCAAAUCACUUGAAAUAAAAAUAAGAAACUAUAAUAUAAUUUUAUUAUAACUAUUCAAAUAUAAUUUUUAUUAACAAAGACGUAGAGUUUUGCUCCUACAAACGCGGACUAUUGCAGGAAACGUCUGAUCUGGAGAACGGUCUCUAUGUGAAUAAUAAAAGUGUUUCAAUAAAAUGCAAUCACCAAGAAAAACAAAACACGUAAAAGACAUGAAAAUCGUAAUCAGCGCCAACCACGUUCAAACAGAAUUGCCAACCUCACAGAGUCAUACACACAUACACAACAACACAAACGAAUCUCCGCUCUGCCAUCUAGGGAUAAUGUGGAAAUUAAUUUGUCCCUACAUAGAUCGUGGAACGCAACAUUACAUUAAUUUAACAAAAACGAUGCUUAUCUUCAGUAUUUAAAGAGACUAAUGAUAAGGCACUUUUGCAGACGUGGACUUGUGCGCGUUUGUAUUUAGUGUAUAUAUAUAGGAAGUGCUGUAGAGCGCGUAUAUGAAUGAGUGUAUUAUAUAGAGUACUGUCGCGUUGACAGUUUAAUUAAUUAAAUUAACUGAAGACGUUAGUUUUCUUUAGUGUUUAUGCUAGCUACUGAUCAUUUAACGUAUACCAAAGUAAUUUAUUUUCUACUGAAAUGUACGUUUCAUGAUAAUCCGAGAAAUAUUAAUUUAAUAUUGGUUCAACGUGUCGACACAUUCUUACUUUAAGGUUAAAAGGGUGUGGCAGGACAGAUGGUACAACCAAGCAGAGGGUGAUACUACAUGUAAAAAUAAAUCGAAAAAAGGAAUAAUAUUUUUUCAUUCAACGCUUUGUUUUCAUGAAAAUCGAAUUUGAAAAUUCUAUCCAGUACGUGUGCACUGGACUGUGUCCCCAAGUCAUUGCCCGCUACAAGUUUCCUUUUGCUUACAUAUUGUAAUGUUGACUUUUCUAAUGCUUAAAUUUCGUCUUCAGCCAUACGAUUUUCUUCUACUUUUAGUCUUUUUUGAUCAGUCAAGCUGUGACAAUGUCUACUUAUAGCAACUACGAGUACGUCAAAAUGAUAAAAGCAUUAGAAGCUUGUCAUGGAAAUGCAACAGCAGCAGUUUAACAUUACAGGCAACAAUUUCUAAAAUGCAGAAAUAAGUGAAAAUUCUCUCAAGCUGAAGGAAAAAAUAAUAAAUGCUUUUAUUCAAAUAAAGUGUCGAUAUUCAUUGGCGUCAGUUCAUGACUCACUAACAAGGCAAGCAAUGAUAUGUAUACAUCAACAAGGACAGCACUUUGAACAGUUUAUUCAAUAAUGUUACACAAUUAAUGUUAGAAGUAUCAAUAAAAUUAAUAAAAAUUAAUAAAAUUAAUAUUUCUUAUUUAUAAUACAUAUCUAAACUUAGAAGCGGUAUAGUGAACAUGUACUGGAUGGAAUUUUCAAACUUGAUUUUCCUCAAAAAGAAAGCGUCAAACGAAAAAAUGUUAUUCUAUUUUUUUGACUUAUUUUUACAUGUAGUAUUACCCUCUACUCUGUUGUACUAACCAGCCUGCCAAACCCUGUAUAUCUAUUUGUAUUUAUUAAGAAUUAAAAUUUUUUGAUACCACUUAAUGAAAGUGACUUGCAUCUAUAUAAUUCAAAGGUUUACUCAAAUAGGAGUAUCAAAAGUGUGGCUAAAUCAAAUUUUAUUUGUGAUGGGUUCUUUGAUUGCUUACGGAAAAAAUAUUAUGUGUUAAGUUUCCAGUCUGUGUCACAAUUUCAUGGGUACCAAAAGGUAGAAUUGAAAAUUAUGUUUCUGAUUGAUUUCUUUUACAGUAUUACAUGAAAUUCUUUUAAAAAAUCACAGACAUGUGGGAUAAAGAAGUACACAUUACAUAGUUUUUCACAUUCUUUAUU